UUGGGAAUAUCACAAUGGCUACACAUGUAUUCAAAAAGACAUGGAACUCAAUGGAGAAGAAUUAAUUUCCCUACAGUAGGACACUUAAAAUUAAAAGAAGUUGAGUGGAAAAAGCCAGCACAGAGGGUAAAGACAAGAUAAGUGUCUCAAACACCCGAACAUGGAGAAGAGCCAACACUUUGCAGGGAGCCAUAGCCAGACUUUGUAACAGGAGAGGGAGUCAUCUGGAAAAUGGCAUUUUUCACACAUCGGCUCCUCGGAGUUCUUGCCCACAUCAAUGCAUUGUCUGGCGUCAGCCAUGGCAUCAGGUACUGGAACAGUCAUUCUCUACAGACUUUGUCAAACAGACUUGGCAGCCCAACGGAGAUCUGUCUGUUCGUCCAUACGCAAGAUCAAGCAUGUCACUCUCCUCAUCAGUGAUUGCUUCUAACUUCUCGAAUAUGCGGGCUUCAAAGAGGAGGUGACAGGUAGAGCAAGGCGAGGUUCCCUCACAUGCACCCAAACCAUCAGUAUCUAGGUUAUUUUCAGUCACAACAUCUAGUAGAGAGUCACCAACUUUUCCUUUGGCCGUUAAUGUUUCACUGCCGCGUUUUCUAAAAGGGACUGUUACUUCGUCUUCUGAGCUGCCCCGCCUCCGCGCCGCUAUGCUCAGCGUCCGGAUCGUCCCGCGCUGCCACCUGGCCCCGGGCUCCUGGGAGGCCGCCGGUUCCUGCGUCGGGUCCAGUGAGGAGCAGCCCCCGACGAGCCUUGCAGGAGCCGGGUGUCCCCACGGCAGCUAUGGCCAGUCGGAGAUCUUCCUGAAAAACAGGUUACUAGAAGGGAGAAGGACAAUAAAGAAAAGAACUCUGGACUCUAAAGGAAAUUGAGACAUCAAGCUGAAGAGAGACCUGGAGUGAAAGCCAUGGGGAAUCCAAAAACAAGUGCUGUCCAUUUCACAAUCCUCCAAGGCUAGGCCUAGUUGAUGUUAAUGACAAACAAUGAGGAAAUGACAGCAGUAGCAUCCCUUGCCUCCCUUCUCUACCAUCCAGCACUUAAGGACCAUCCACAGGUAGGUCAGGGGCCCUGGGAACUGGCGUGCACACUGAUCUGUAGGCAGCGCAAGGAGUCUUAAGAUGCUGCCGCCACAGUUGCCGCUGCUCUGCAAACCUAUUAGGGAGAUGCAUCAUCUCUCCUUUGAUUUGAAGUUCCAGAUUGAUGGGCCUGAAAAUUGAAUGAGCUCAGGGACUGCUCAAAGAUCCAUGGUGAAAUGAAAACAAGUCAGAAUAAAAACAACCUGCGGCUAGUGGCUACA
rnacentral:lncRNA from 1 species